rnacentral:rRNA from 1 species
GAUGAACGCUGGCGGCGUGCCUAAUACAUGCAAGUCGAGCGAACGGACGAGUAUCUUGCUUCUCUGAUGUUAGCGGCGGACGUGUGAUUAACACGUGUAUACCCUACCUAUAAGACUUGUAUAACUUCGUGAAACCGGAUCUAAUACCGGAUAAUAUUUUGAACCUCAUGGUUCAUAAGUUUUAGACGGUCUUUCUGUCCCUUAUAGAUGUUUCCGGGCUGCAUUAGCGAGUUGGUACGGUAACGGCUUACCAAGGCAACGAUGCAUAGCCGACCUGAGAGGGGGAACGGACACACGGGAAGUGAGACACGGAACAGACAACGACGGGAGGCAGCAGUAGGGAAUGUUAGGCAAUGGGGGAAAGCCUGACGGAGCAACGGCGAGUGAGUGAUGAAGGUCUUCGGAUCGGAAAACACUGUUAGUAGGGAAGAACAGAUGUGGAAGGAAAUGAGCACAUAGUGACGGUACCUAAAGAAAAAGCAACGGCUAACUACGUG